ensembl:rRNA 5S_rRNA 5S ribosomal RNA
CUCCGCUGCCAUACCACCUCAGGCUGUGAUCUCAUCGGAUCUCACAGGCUAAGUCACAUUGGACGUGGUCAGUACUUCGGUAGGAGACCUCCAAAUAAAAGCAGGGUGCUAGGGGAGU